rnacentral:rRNA from 1 species
CCUACGGGUGGCUGCAGUAGGGAAUAUUGGACAAUGGAGGAAACUCUGAUCCAGCCAUGCCGCGUGAGUGAUGAAGGCCUUCGGGUUGUAAAGCUCUUUGAUUGGAGACAAUAAUGAUGGUAUCCAAAGAACAAGCCCCGGCUAACUCUGUGCCAGCAGCCGCGGUAAUACAGAGGGGGCUAGCGUUGUUCGGAAUUACUGGGCGUAAAGCGUGCGUAGGCGGCUUGAUAAGUCAGAAGUGAAAGCCCAAGGCUUAACCUUGGAAUUGCUUUUGA